AAAUAAAUUCAUUUAUAGAUAGAUUACUACAUUAGAGAAAUGAAGGAUAAACUGUAUUAAAUAUAUAUAUAUAGAACAAGAAGUAAGAACAUGGCAUAGAUCGCUCAUUCUGCACAUUAGUAAUUAGAUUUGCUUUAAUUGAAUUAUAAAAACACUAAAAAGCCAGCCCUGCCUGCAUUUGGAGCUGAGUUUAUUAUUCUUCAUUAAAAAAAAGUAAAAAGUCAUUCAUUUGAAUUUCUUUGUUAUUCGUGCAAGAAAAUAAGAAAAAACAUAACAGAUACUGAAAUUAAACGGAAUCACAAAUACAUAAGACUCUCUUUGCAAUUGGGAACUAAUUUACCAAUUUUUAUCACUCAGGUCACUGACAACGAUAAAAGAAAGGAUUUUCAGAUUCCCAAGGGAAAGUUGAUCGUUCGCAGCUACAGCAAAACCAACAACCACUGCAAUCUUCUCCAUUAGUGAUACCACAAGCUUUCCCACAAGUAGGUAGUAUAUCAUUAAGUUUGUGGAAGUAAUUUCCUUCUGAGUCCUGAUACAUUAGGAUCGACAUUUCUUGCUGCCAUAACUUGUGUCUUUGAGAACCACAUCACAUCGGCUGAAAAAAUUCAACAUCACAGUUACAAAAUCAAGUUAUUAAUUAAUUACUGGUAUAAUAUGGAAAAGAGCACAUUCAAUCUGCAUGUAUAGAAAAACACUUAUAUAUAUCAAUGCAUAUUGAAAUAUGUACACAUUCACAUGUGUAACUACAUAUUGACAAGCACAGUAACGUCGGAUUGCACUACACGAAUAAAGAGGGAUGGAUACUAACUAGUGAAUGCCAUGAGAAUAAUAGUGAUGACCAAACCAAGCUUAAGUAACGCCAUACUAGAUAAAUUGCUUAAAGUUUUGUGAACAAUUUUGUGUCAGUAUCUUCAAAGGUUAUUUAUAGAGAUCUCCC
rnacentral:lncRNA from 1 species